rnacentral:lncRNA from 1 species
CUCAUCCGACUACUCGACACUCCAACUAAGUGGAAUCUAGAACAUAAUAAUAUGUUAACAAUCGAGUUUAAGGUGCAAAAAUUAUCUACUCAAUCAUACCGACGAGCAAAAACUCUCUAUUAUAAGCAUUUAAUUAAAAAUGACAGUCAGAUACAUUAAAGCUCUCGUUAUAUGCGGGUCCGGGGAAGGACCGGACCACAAGGGUCUAUUAUUCGCAGCCUUGUCUUGCAUAUCUGCAAGAGAUUAUUUUUACAAUUUGAACCCGUGACCUCCUGGUCACAUAACAGCAACUUU